UACGGGGGGGGCAAGCGUUGUUCGGAAUUACUGGGCGUAAGGGGCUCGUAGGUGGCCAACUAAGUCAGACGUGAAAUCCCUCGGCUUAACCGGGGAACUGCGUCUGAUACUGGAUGGCUUGAGUUCGGGAGAGGGAUGCGGAAUUCCAGGUGUAGCGGUGAAAUGCGUAGAUAUCUGGAGGAACACCGGUGGCGAAGGCGGCAUCCUGGACCGACACUGACACUGAGGAGCGAAAGCCAGGGGAGCAAACGGG
rnacentral:rRNA from 1 species